rnacentral:ncRNA from 2 species
ACCCUCGAUCCUCGUGAUUUGUCCGGCCGGAUUGCGGCGAGGUUAAACAAGCGCGCUAAAGAGGCCAGCGGAGGACGUCU